rnacentral:lncRNA from 13 species
CUCUUCUCUCUCUCUCUCUCUCUGUCACACAUACUCUCUCUUGUUCCCUAUCUUCCUCUCUUUCUCUGCAUCCCACUACUAUUUUUUUCUCUGUUUGUUCCCAGGCCAUUCCCCUCCCGAGCACUGCUCUCCAUUUUCCCUCUUCUCUGUCUCUCCCAGGCUCUGGUCCGGACCUGUCCAGGUGGAUCUAUAAGGGCAAGAGACCCUGAGGAUCAUCUGAGCCCCUGUACCCUAACCUGACUCCCCAUCCAGGCCCGGCUUGAUCCUCCCAACCCAAGGACACACUGAACCUUCGGAGGAAGGGUCUGAGUGAGUGCUGACAUGGAACCUCAAAGAUGAGCUCUCAAAAGGGGGGCGGGUGGGGGACAGAGCACACUGCACAGAAAGUCAUCAUUAUUUCUGGAACAGGAGCAGAGAGUAGAUCUCUCAACCAAGACAGAUGGGGGAGGACGGGGGCAGGCUAGGAACCAGUGCACCAAGAAAGGUGCACAGGUGGGUGAGGGAGACAGGGAAAAGGGCCCAGGGCUGACUUCCAGAGCUUUUGACUUUCACAAAGGGCCCAAUGACACCACAGAAGAAGCAUGUGAGUCACCAACACUGACUCAGGCUCCGGCUGGCUGGUGACAGAACAGGGCAUUCCAGAUGUCACUCAGGAAGCCCAAGAGGACUCCAAGCCUGGGGAGAGCUCCUGCUGCCUGAGACAAAGAGGCAUCCAGCAGAGGCAGGGACCUCCCACUUCCUUCCCCAGGACCUGAGGCCUUCACACUCGCUCUCUUGCCACCAUGCCUGUCUUUCAGCUCUCACUCUCAUCUCUUCUCAUCGGCAUUCUACUGACCAGCCCUUGGGUCUUCUGUUCUGCUCCUGGGGGACCCUGGGCUCACAUGUGGCCGGAGCCCUGGCUCCUGGGGCCCCUCGGGGAGAACUCAGGGUGCUAUAAGACAGUGUCACCGCCACGCUGGUCAGAGGGGUGGGCGAGAGGAUGGUGCUCAGCUGCCCUGUGGGCCUCCCAAGGGGGCCUGCCCGCCCCCACCAGGGAUGGUCUAGCCGACACCGCAAUCAAGCGCUCACCCCACCUAAAACCAGGGCCAGCUGGGUCCUUGGGAUGCCUCCAAAGACAUCAUGAGGUCCCUCUCAGUGCCCCCAGCCCUCCACCCAGCCCAGCCAAACACGCACCCACCAAACCCCAGGGAGGCAACUCAGCCCUCCCUCCUCCAGGGGGCGCUCUCCAGCCCACGCAGACAAUGGACUGGAGGCACUUUCAGGACAACAAGGUGCCCUUGGAGACAGAAUCCCAGCAGGAGCCCCACGCCCAGUGGAGAGGCCUCCGCCCUGCUUCUGAAGCGGCAGGCGCUGGCCUCAAUAAUCCCCCAGCCGUGGGCCGAGUUGGCAUCCUCCGACCCCUGCGGCCACUGCCAGGAAGCAGCAGCUUGGGGCCGUGGAGAGACCCGAAGCCUGGAUUCCACUUCUGGCCCCACCAUAGCCCAUGGUGGGGCUGA